AAAGUCGUAACAAGGUUUCCGUAGGUGAACCUGCGGAAGGAUCAUUACCAAUCCAAACUAAAAACCACUGUGAACUGGCUGAAGUACUUGGGCAAGUUUAUUGAGGAGGGAGCCUUAAUUUUUCUUUUUGUGAGUGUGUGUGCUUUGUCACAAGACUCUUAAAAAAAAGAUUAUUGCUUCUUCUUCACCCUUGCCCAACAGUAUUAACCACAAUUUAAAAUUUGUUAUGUUAAACUGCUGACUUGUUGCUCUUGCAACUUGUCUGCUACAAAUGAAAACCAAAAGAUUACAACUUUUAGCGGUGGAUCUCUUGGCUCAU
rnacentral:misc_RNA from 1 species